UACGAAGGGGGCUAGCGUUGUUCGGAAUUACUGGGCGUAAAGCGCGUGUAGGCGGGUCUUUAAGUCAGGGGUGAAAUGCCAAGGCUCAACCUUGGAACUGCCUUUGAUACUGGAGAUCUUGAGUCCGGGAGAGGUGAGUGGAACUGCGAGUGUAGAGGUGAAAUUCGUAGAUAUUCGCAAGAACACCAGUGGCGAAGGCGGCUCACUGGCCCGGAACUGACGCUGAGACACGAAAGCGUGGGUAGCAAACAGG
rnacentral:rRNA from 1 species